rnacentral:rRNA from 1 species
CAGUCGCCGCGGUAAUACGAAGGGUGCAAGCGUUACUCGGAAUUACUGGGCGUAAAGCGUGCGUAGGCGGUGGUUUAAGUCCGUUGUGAAAGCCCUGGGCUCAACCUGGGAACUGCAGUGGAUACUGGGUCACUAGAGUGUGGUAGAGGAUAGUGGAAUUUCCGAUGUAGCAGUGAAAUGCGUAGAGAUCGGAAGGAACAUCUGUGGCGAAGGCGACUGUCUGGGCCAACACUGACACUGAGGCACGAAAGCGUGGGGAGCAAACAGGAUUAGAUACCCCAGUAGUCCCUGUCUCUUAUAC